rnacentral:rRNA from 1 species
AUUGAACGCUGGCGGCAGGCCUAACACAUGCAAGUCGAGCGGAUGAAGGGAGCUUGCUCCUGGAUUCAGCGGCGGACGGGUGAGUAAUGCCUAGGAAUCUGCCUGGUAGUGGGGUAUAACGUCCGGACACGGGCGCUAAUACCGCAUUCGUCCUGAGGGCGUACGGGGGGGAUCUUCGGACCUCACGCUAUCAGGUGAGCCUAGGUCGGAUUAGCUAGUUGGUGGGGUAAAGGCCUACCAAGGCGACGAUCCGUAACUGGUCUGAGAGGAUGAUCAGUCACACUGGAACUGUGGCACGGUCCAGACUCCUACGGGAGGCAGCAGUGGGGAAUAUUGGACAAUGGGCGAAAGCCUGAUCCAGCCAUGCCGCGUGUGUGAAGAAGGUCUUCGGAUUGUAAAGCACUUUUAGUUGGGAGGAAGGGCAGUAAGUUAAUACCUUGCUGUUUUGACGGUACCAAAAGAAUAAGCACCGGCUAACUUCGUG